UGCAGUCGAGCGGACAGAAGGGAGCUUGCUCCCGGAUGUUAGCGGCGGACGGGUGAGUAACACGUGGGUAACCUGCCUGUAAGACUGGGAUAACUCCGGGAAACCGGAGCUAAUACCGGAUAGUUCCUUGAACCGCAUGGUUCAAGGAUGAAAGACGGUUUCGGCUGUCACUUACAGAUGGACCCGCGGCGCAUUAGCUAGUUGGUGAGGUAACGGCUCACCAAGGCGACGAUGCGUAGCCGACCUGAGAGGGUGAUCGGCCACACUGGGACUGAGACACGGCCCAGACUCCUACGGGAGGCAGCAGUAGGGAAUCUUCCGCAAUGGACGAAAGUCUGACGGAGCAACGCCGCGUGAGUGAUGAAGGUUUUCGGAUCGUAAAGCUCUGUUGUUAGGGAAGAACAAGUGCAAGAGUAACUGCUUGCACCUUGACGGUACCUAACCAGAAAGCCACGGCUAACUACGUGCCAGCAGCCGCGGUAAUACGUAGGUGGCAAGCGUUGUCCGGAAUUAUUGGGCGUAAAGGGCUCGCAGGCGGUUUCUUAAGUCUGAUGUGAAAGCCCCCGGCUCAACCGGGGAGGGUCAUUGGAAACUGGGAAACUUGAGUGCAGAAGAGGAGAGUGGAAUUCCACGUGUAGCGGUGAAAUGCGUAGAGAUGUGGAGGAACACCAGUGGCGAAGGCGACUCUCUGGUCUGUAACUGACGCUGAGGAGCGAAAGCGUGGGGAGCGAACAGGAUUAGAUACCCUGGUAGUCCACGCCGUAAACGAUGAGUGCUAAGUGUUAGGGGGUUUCCGCCCCUUAGUGCUGCAGCUAACGCAUUAAGCACUCCGCCUGGGGAGUACGGUCGCAAGACUGAAACUCAAAGGAAUUGACGGGGGCCCGCACAAGCGGUGGAACAUGUGGUUUAAUUCGAAGCAACGCGAAGAACCUUACCAGGUCUUGACAUCCUCUGACAACCCUAGAGAUAGGGCUUUCCCUUCGG
rnacentral:rRNA from 1 species